rnacentral:lncRNA from 1 species
GUAGGCAUUGGGUACUCAUAUACCCGAGAUCGGCCUUGCCAUGCGUACUGCAGAGAGCGUAGUCACCGAAUAUAGUCCGGCAUUGCUUUGCUAUGGCAGAGAGUUGUGCACUCCGUGGGAACCUGCAGGUGCCAAGGAGGACACGGAGCCUCCAGAGGCAGUGCAACAUGCCCUUGCUGCAGAACUCCGGCGGUGCCUUGGAGAAGCCCUGAAGUACGCCAAGAAGCAUCAAGCAGCUGCCUGGCAGGCCCAGAAGUCAAGUUAUGACCAUCAUCGACAGUCAACAACCAUCAAAGAAGGUGACCUCGUGCCCUUGGACACUCACACCUUGAGUAAUGCGGCCAAAGGUGUUUCGACCAAGUUGGCACCGUGGCGAAGUGGACCGUAUCGUGCGGUCAAGCAGGUUGCUGAAAAUGACUUCAUCCUGGGUGACCCAGCUACGAGGUGUCAUCGAACCAUCGCCCAUGGUGAUCAGUUGGUGCUGUACCACAAACCAUUACUUCUCCCUUCCGCCCCGAAUUCACGAUUCGAGGGGGGGAGAGUUUUGAGGGAUGAUUGGGACUGCAGGUGGGUUGGGUGUGGAUCUCCGAGGCUGUGUGUGGUUGACAGUGGAGGAACGAGAUGGCGCGAGUGU